GCGGGUGUAGCUCAAUGGUAGAGCGCUAGCCUUCCAAGCUAGUCACGUGGGUUCGAUUCCCAUCACCCGCUCCA
rnacentral:tRNA from 1 species